rnacentral:tRNA from 1 species
AAUACUAUAAUUUAAUAGGAAAAAUGAAAAAUAGUAUAUCUAUUUUUAAUAUAAGUUCAAGUCUUAUUAGUAUUU